UUAGAGUUUGAUCCUGGCUCAGAACGAACGCUGGCGGCGUGGAUAAGGCAUGCAAGUCGAGCGAUCUCGCAAGAGAUAGCGGCAGAAGGGUUAGUAACACGUGGGUAAUCUGCCUUCAGGCGUGGGAUAACCUUCCGAAAGGAGGGCUAAUACCGCAUAACAUUGCAGUUUCGCAUGAAUCUGCAAUCAAAGAUGGCCGCAAGGCUGUCACCAGAAGAUGAGCCCGCGUCCUAUCAGCUAGUUGGUGAGGUAACGGCUCACCAAGGCUUUUGACGGGUAGCUGGUCUAAGAGGACGGUCAGCAACACUGGGACUGAGACACUGCCCAGACUCCUACGGGAGGCUGCAGUCGAGGAUCUUUAUCAAUGCCCGAAAGGGUGAAUAUGCGACGCCGCGUGUGGGAUGAAGGCCUUCGGGUCGUAAACCACUGUCAGGGGUGAGGAAAACCCGUCCGUUAAUACCGGAUGGAUUUGACGUUAACCCCAGAGGAAGCCACGGCUAACUCUGUGCCAGCAGCCGCGGUAAUACAGAGGCGGCAAGCGUUGUUCGGAUUUAUUGGGUGUAAAGGGCAGGUAGGUGGUCAUGUAAGUCCGCUGUGAAAUCCCAGGGCUCAACCCUGGAACUGCAGUAGAAACUGCAUGACUUGAGUAUCAGAGAGAUGAGGGGAAUUCUCGGUGUAAGGGUGAAAUCUGUAGAUAUCGAGAGGAAUACCAGUGGCGAAGGCGCCUCAUUGGCUGAUAACUGACACUGAGCUGCGAAAGCAAGGGGAGCAAACAGGAUUAGAUACCCUGGUAGUCCUUGCCGUAAACGAUGUGGAUUAGGUGUCGGGAGUGUCGAUCCUCUCGGCGCCGCCGUUAACACAUUAAAUCCACCACCUGGGGAGUACGGUCGCAAGACUGAAACUCAAAGGAAUUGACGGGGACCCGCACAAGCGGUGGAGCAUGUGGUUUAAUUCGAGGCUACGCGAAGAACCUUACCUAGGCUUGACAUGUUUGCAGUAGUCCUGAUGAAAGUCGGGGCGACCGUAUCCAAUCGGAGGCAUACACAGGUGCUGCAUGGUUGUCGUCAGCUCGUGCUGUGAAGUGUUGGGUUAAGUCCCGCAACGAGCGCAACCAUUGCUCUUAGUUGCCAUCAGGUUAAGCUGGGCACUCUAAGAGGACCGCCAGUGAUAAACUGGAGGAAGGUGGAGAUGAUGUCAAAUCAGCAUGGCCCUUACGCCUAGGGCUACACACGUGCUACAAUGGCCGGUACAAUGAGCAGCGAGUCCGCGAGGAGGAGCAAAUCUCAAAAAGCCGGCCCCAGUUCGGAUAGUAGGCUGCAAUUCGCCUGCUUGAAGCCGGAAUCGCUAGUAAUGGCGCAUCAGAACGGCGCCGUGAAUACGUUCCCGGGUCUUGUACACACCGCCCGUCAAGCCACCUGAAUCGGAGGUACCCGAAAUCGUCUCUCUAACCCGCAAGGGAGGAAGGCGCUGAAGGUAAAACUGGUGAGGAGGGCUAAGUCGUAACAAGGUAACC
rnacentral:rRNA from 1 species